rnacentral:tRNA from 1 species
GCCGAGAUAGCUCAGUGGUAGAGCGCGGCCCUGAAAAGGCCGGCGUGGGGAGUCCGAUUCUCUCUCUCGGCACCA